UUUGCUUCUGGGUCACUAUCCUGAGCCUUUGUCUCAUCUCCAAGCUCUGCCACCCUGCAGUCCCCAUGGUGAACUGAGCCACUGCAGCCGCUGCUCCAGGGGCUGCCCCAGACAGUGCCCUGUGCUUUCUGUUCCUGUCACUGCAGCUAGCGGCUGGCUGGUCUGUGCCACCGUGCUGUCCCCACUCUGCACGACGAUCACUCCCUUGUUGCUAGGGGAUUCAUUUUCAUCUGGCAAAUCCAGCACUGUGAGCUAAUCUUUCAGACCAACCGACGGUACCUCGCCCUUCGCCCUCGUCCUCCUGAGGAGUUUAGCCUCCUGCCUCACGUGCCUGACGGCGCCUCUGAAGGACCGAAAGCCAGGAAGGAUGUACAGCCCUGGGGGGAAGAUGGCACCAGAGACCCCACCUGAGGGAGGGCAGGGCCAGUGAGCAGCCACAGAUGUCUACGAAUGAACAUGGUUCGUGAUAUAAAAGACUUGAAAGAAAGAAAGAAUAUUCUUGAACCCAACCUGAUAAAAACGUCGCCACGACGGCACUGGCUGUGGGAAGACGUAGGCGCAGAGGGAGGACAGAGGGGCAGGCACAGGACAGCAGAGCCGCCAGUGACCACAGCUACACACUUUCUACGCAGAUGAGGGCCAAGUUGCAGAACCUGGCACCAGGACCAACUCAACUUUCGACUUCCAGUCUUUUAACAGUCUCCAAAAGCUGAGGUCUGUUCCUGGAAUGGAAAUUUCUCUCUCUCUUUUUUCCCCCUAAAGUACCCUUUUAAACGGUUUCAAAGUUGUGCAGUGUUUUGCUAAUAUUUUAGGGAACUAUGGAAAAAUCUUCACGCCAUACAAAGAAAUAAUGCCAGCUGGGGAGCAGGGUUGUCUAGGGUCACUGUUCUGGAAUAUGCUAUCAGAAAUUCCUUCUCCGUGAGCCAGGGCUGUUGUUUCCAACACCCCCCAAGUUUCACAAGGGACCAACUGGCAGGAGGGCUGCUGGUGGCGACAGGGGCAGCCGAGGACACAAGGUCAUGACUCAGCGGUGUCAGGCACUCUGCAAUGGGGUAUUUGUCUCGUGUUGCCCUCGUUAUAGCUAUUCGGGUGUUAGGUCAAUGGAUCAAAUAUUAAGCUGUGGGCUUUGAAAAAAUGGCCAUUACGGAUUAAAACAUAUGCGGGUCUUGAUUUUAAAGGACUACUCUUGUGAGAAUGGGGAGAAGGCUGUCAGUUACUGCAGUCCUGUCGACAGCAUCGCUCGCACUCCCACGGCCGUGGGUCCUCUUAGCUAGUUAGGGAUGAUGACGACCUCACACCCCAGCAUGGCUGCCGCACACUUACGCCGCGUAUACUGUCCGGGACCAGACAGAAAAUGUGCAUCCCCAACAACAAACAAGGAAAACUGAACUGAGUUCAAAUGACCCACAAUUCUUCUUUUCCUCUGUUCACCUCCAUCACCAUAACCAGAAGGGCACAGUCCACAAACAAGACUGCUUGAGUAGUAGGUGUUUUGUUCUUGUCGAUACGUGCAUAAACAACCUUAAAUCACAGACCAUGUCAUUUGGAUUACAAAACAGUACACAGUUUCUCAAUUCUUUCCCCCCU